rnacentral:rRNA from 1 species
CCCUUAGAUGUUCUGGGCCGCACGCGCGCUACACUGAUGAACGCAACGAGACCACCUGUACCGAAAGGCAUGGGUAAACUUGUGAAAGUUCAUCGUGAUGGGGAUAGAUUAUUGCAAUUAUUAAUCUUCAACGAGGAAUUCCUAGUAAGCGCGAGUCAUCAGCUCGCGUUGAUUACGUCCCUGCCCUUUGUACACACCGCCCGUCGCUCCUACCGAUUGAAUGGUCCGGUGAAAUCUUCGGAUUGCUGGAUAGGACCUCAUUGACCUAUCUGCGAGAAGUUGCUUGAACCUUAUCAUUUAGAGGAAGGAGAANUCGUAACA